CAUAGACUUCUUGAGACAAGUAGAGCUCAUCAAUGCAGAGAGAGCGGACACCCCUCACCAUGCAUACUACAAGUCCUGCAGGACAGCAGCCCACCAUUCCAGAACAGAGCUCUUCUGUAAUACCUAUAUCCAGCUUUCAGGUACAAACACCCUUUGUCAGCCUGAGGAAGCGUAUGCAGUUGGCCUGUGCUCUUCCUGAAUGGA